CCACUGAGGAGUCCUCCUUCAGUCCUACUCGUACAGUCCCUCAAAAACCCCUCAAACCUGCGCUGAAGAGACCCUCUGUGGUGGAGCGUCCCACCGAGAUCCCCACCAGCCCAAAUGAUAAUUCAGGCAUUGCUUUAAAGGACCUGUUCUGCGCCAGUCCCGACACAGAAGGCCUGGAGAAAAACAACAACGUGGAGAGCCCCGUGUCUCCUGAACUCAGGAGGCCGUCCAAACGAGUCCGGAUAUCCAUAGUGGAGCCACCAACGAUCUUAAAGAGCUACUUUGUGG